rnacentral:rRNA from 1 species
GACGAACGCUGGCGGCGUGCUUAACACAUGCAAGUCGAACGGAAAGGCCCUGCUUUUGUGGGGUGCUCGAGGGGCGAACGGGUGAGUAACACGUGAGUAACCUGCCCUUGACUUUGGGAUAACUUCAGGAAACUGGGGCUAAUACCGGAUAGGAGCUCCUGCUGCAUGGUGGGGGUUGGAAAGUUUCGGCGGUUGUGGAUGGACUCGCGGCUUAUCAGCUUGUUGGUGGGGUAGUGGCUUACCAAGGCUUUGACGGGUAGCCGGCCUGAGAGGGUGACCGGCCACAUUGGGACUGAGAUACGGCCCAGACUCCUACGGUAGGCAGCAGUGGGGAAUAUUGCACAAUGGGCGGAAGCCUGAUGCAGCAACGCCGCGUGCGGGAUGACGGCCUUCGGGUUGUAAACCGCUUUCGCCUGUGACGAAGCGUGAGUGACGGUAAUGGGUAAAGAAGCACCGGCUAACUACGUG